UACGUAGGGCGCGAGCGUUGUCCGGAAUUAUUGGGCGUAAAGAGCUCGUAGGCGGCCUGUUGCGUCUGCUGUGAAAUCCCGGGGCUUAACCCCGGGCGUGCAGUGGAUACGGGCAGGCUGGAGGCAGGCAGGGGAGAAUGGAAUUCCCGGUGUAGCGGUGAAAUGCGCAGAUAUCGGGAGGAACACCGGUGGCGAAGGCGGUUCUCUGGGCCUGUUCUGACGCUGAGGAGCGAAAGCGUGGGGAGCGAACAGG
rnacentral:rRNA from 1 species